rnacentral:rRNA from 1 species
GAAAGGCGAAAAGAACCCCGGCGAGGGGAGUGAAAAAGAACCUGAAACCGUGUACGUACAAGCAGUGGGAGCACGCUUAGGCGUGUGACUGCGUACCUUUUGUAUAAUGGGUCAGCGACUUAUAUUCUGUAGCAAGGUUAACCGAAUAGGGGAGCCGAAGGGAAACCGAGUCUUAACUGGGCGUUAAGUUGCAGGGUAUAGACCCGAAACCCGGUGAUCUAGCCAUGGGCAGGUUGAAGGUUGGGUAACACUAACUGGAGGACCGAACCGACUAAUGUUGAAAAAUUAGCGGAUGACUUGUGGCUGGGGGUGAAAGGCCAAUCAAACCGGGAGAUAGCUGGUUCUCCCCGAAAGCUAUUUAGGUAGCGCCUCGUGAAUUCAUCUCCGGGGGUAGAGCACUGUUUCGGCAAGGGGGUCAUCCCGACUUACCAACCCGAUGCAAACUGCGAAUACCGGAGAAUGUUAUCACGGGAGACACACGGCGGGUGCUAACGUCCGUCGUGAAGAGGGAAACAACCCAGACCGCCAGCUAAGGUCCCAAAGUCAUGGUUAAGUGGGAAACGAUGUGGGAAGGCCCAGACAGCCAGGAUGUUGGCUUAGAAGCAGCCAUCAUUUAAAGAAAGCGUAAUAGCUCACUGGUCGAGUCGGCCUGCGCGGAAGAUGUAACGGGGCUAAACCAUGCACCGAAGCUGCGGCAGCGACGCUUAUGCGUUGUUGGGUAGGGGAGCGUUCUGUAAGCCUGUGAAGGUGUGCUGUGAGGUAUGCUGGAGGUAUCAGAAGUGCGAAUGCUGACAUAAGUAACGAUAAAGCGGGUGAAAAGCCCGCUCGCCGGAAGACCAAGGGUUCCUGUCCAACGUUAAUCGGGGCAGGGUGAGUCGACCCCUAAGGCGAGGCCGAAAGGCGUAGUCGAUGGGAAACAGGUUAAUAUUCCUGUACUUGGUGUUACUGCGAAGGGGGGACGGAGAAGGCUAUGUUGGCCGGGCGACGGUUGUCCCGGUUUAAGCGUGUAGGCUGGUUUUCCAGGCAAAUCCGGAAAAUCAAGGCCGAGGCGUGAUGACGAGGCACUACGGUGCUGAAGCAACAAAUGCCCUGCUUCCAGGAAAAGCCUCUAAGCAUCAGGUAACAUCAAAUCGUACCCCAAACCGACACAGGUGGUCAGGUAGAGAAUACCAAGGCGCUUGAGAGAACUCGGGUGAAGGAACUAGGCAAAAUGGUGCCGUAACUUCGGGAGAAGGCACGCUGAUACGUAGGUGAAGCGACUUGCUCGUGGAGCUGAAAUCAGUCGAAGAUACCAGCUGGCUGCAACUGUUUAUUAAAAACACAGCACUGUGCAAACACGAAAGUGGACGUAUACGGUGUGACGCCUGCCCGGUGCCGGAAGGUUAAUUGAUGGGGUUAGCGCAAGCGAAGCUCUUGAUCGAAGCCCCGGUAAACGGCGGCCGUAACUAUAACGGUCCUAAGGUAGCGAAAUUCCUUGUCGGGUAAGUUCCGACCUGCACGAAUGGCGUAAUGAUGGCCAGGCUGUCUCCACCCGAGACUCAGUGAAAUUGAACUCGCUGUGAAGAUGCAGUGUACCCGCGGCAAGACGGAAAGACCCCGUGAACCUUUACUAUAGCUUGACACUGAACAUUGAGCCUUGAUGUGUAGGAUAGGUGGGAGGCUUUGAAGUGUGGACGCCAGUCUGCAUGGAGCCGACCUUGAAAUACCACCCUUUAAUGUUUGAUGUUCUAACGUGGACCCGUGAUCCGGGUUGCGGACAGUGUCUGGUGGGUAGUUUGACUGGGGCGGUCUCCUCCUAAAGAGUAACGGAGGAGCACGAAGGUUGGCUAAUCCUGGUCGGACAUCAGGAGGUUAGUGCAAUGGCAUAAGCCAGCUUGACUGCGAGCGUGACGGCGCGAGCAGGUGCGAAAGCAGGUCAUAGUGAUCCGGUGGUUCUGAAUGGAAGGGCCAUCGCUCAACGGAUAAAAGGUACUCCGGGGAUAACAGGCUGAUACCGCCCAAGAGUUCAUAUCGACGGCGGUGUUUGGCACCUCGAUGUCGGCUCAUCACAUCCUGGGGCUGAAGUAGGUCCCAAGGGUAUGGCUGUUCGCCAUUUAAAGUGGUACGCGAGCUGGGUUUAGAACGUCGUGAGACAGUUCGGUCCCUAUCUGCCGUGGGCGCUGGAGAACUGAGGGGGGCUGCUCCUAGUACGAGAGGACCGGAGUGGACGCAUCACUGGUGUUCGGGUUGUCAUGCCAAUGGCACUGCCCGGUAGCUAAAUGCGGAAGAGAUAAGUGCUGAAAGCAUCUAAGCACGAAACUUGCCCCGAGAUGAGUUCUCCCUGACCCUUUAAGGGUCCUGAAGGAACGUUGAAGACGACGACGUUGAUAGGCCGGGUGUGUAAGCGCAGCGAUGCGUUGAGCUAACCGGUACUAAUGAACCGUGAGGCUUAACCUU